UACACAUGCAGUCGAGCGGAUGAAGAGAGCUUGCUCUCUGAUUCAGCGGCGGACGGGUGAGUAAUGCCUAGGAAUCUGCCUGAUAGUGGGGGACAACGUUUCGAAAGGAACGCUAAUACCGCAUACGUCCUACGGGAGAAAGCAGGGGACCUUCGGGCCUUGCGCUAUCAGAUGAGCCUAGGUCGGAUUAGCUAGUUGGUGAGGUAACGGCUCACCAAGGCGACGAUCCGUAACUGGUCUGAGAGGAUGAUCAGUCACACUGGAACUGAGACACGGUCCAGACUCCUACGGGAGGCAGCAGUGGGGAAUAUUGGACAAUGGGCGAAAGCCUGAUCCAGCCAUGCCGCGUGUGUGAAGAAGGUCUUCGGAUUGUAAAGCACUUUAAGUUGGGAGGAAGGGCAUUAACCUAAUACGUUAGUGUUUUGACGUUACCGACAGAAUAAGCACCGGCUAACUUCGUGCCAGCAGCCGCGGUAAUACGAAGGGUGCAAGCGUUAAUCGGAAUUACUGGGCGUAAAGCGCGCGUAGGUGGUUUGUUAAGUUGAAUGUGAAAGCCCCGGGCUCAACCUGGGAACUGCAUCCAAAACUGGCAAGCUAGAGUAUGGCAGAGGGUGGUGGAAUUUCCUGUGUAGCGGUGAAAUGCGUAGAUAUAGGAAGGAACACCAGUGGCGAAGGCGACCACCUGGGCUAAUACUGACACUGAGGUGCGAAAGCGUGGGGAGCAAACAGGAUUAGAUACCCUGGUAGUCCACGCCGUAAACGAUGUCGACUAGCCGUUGGGAUCCUUGAGAUCUUA
rnacentral:rRNA from 1 species